rnacentral:rRNA from 1 species
CCUACGGGGUGCAGCAGUGAGGAAUAUUGGUCAAUGGUCGGGAGACUGAACCAGCCAAGCCGCGUGAGGGAGGAAGGUACAGCGUAUCGUAAACCUCUUUUGUCAGGGAACAAAGACUGGGACGCGUCCCCGGAUGAGUGUACUUGAAGAAAAAGCAUCGGCUAACUCCGUGCCAGCAGCCGCGGUAAUACGGAGGAUGCGAGCGUUAUCCGGAUUUAUUGGGUUUAAAGGGUGCGUAGGUGGUCUGUUAAGUCAGUGGUCAAAGCCUGGGGCUCAACCCGGGACCGCCGUUGAAAAUGGCAGUCUCGAGUUGGGGGGAGGUGUGAGGAAUGCGCGGUGUGGCGGUGCAAUGCUU